rnacentral:rRNA from 1 species
UCGGGAAUUUUGGGCAAUGGGCGAAAGCCUGACCCAGCAACGCCGCGUGAAGGAUGAAGUAUUUCGGUAUGUAAACUUCGAAAGAAUAGGAAGAAUAAAUGACGGUACUAUUUAUAAGGUCCGGCUAACUACGUGCCAGCAGCCGCGGUAAUACGUAGGGACCAAGCGUUGUUCGGAUUUACUGGGCGUAAAGGGCGCGUAGGCGGCAAUUCAAGUCAUCUGUGAAAUCUCCGGGCUUAACUCGGAACGGUCAGAUGAUACUGCUUUGCUAGAGUGCAGAAGGGGCAAUCGGAAUUCUUGGUGUAGCGGUGAAAUUCGUAGAUAUCGAGAGGAACACCGGUGGCGAAGGCGGCCAACUGGACGAAUACUGACGCUGAGACUCGAAAGCGUGGGGAGCAAACAGGAUUAGAUACCCCAGUAGUCCCUGAGCGGGCUGGCAAGGCGCAU